rnacentral:rRNA from 1 species
AUACUGUGAGCUCGAUGAGUAGGGCGGGACACGUGGUAUCCUGUCUGAAUAUGGGGGGACCAUCCUCCAAGGCUAAAUACUCCUGACUGACCGAUAGUGAACCAGUACCGUGAGGGAAAGGCGAAAAGAACCCCGGCGAGGGGAGUGAAAAAGAACCUGAAACCGUGUACGUACAAGCAGUGGGAGCACGCUUAGGCGUGUGACUGCGUACCUUUUGUAUAAUGGGUCAGCGACUUAUAUUCUGUAGCAAGGUUAACCGAAUAGGGGAGCCGAAGGGAAACCGAGUCUUAACUGGGCGUUAAGUUGCAGGGUAUAGACCCGAAACCCGGUGAUCUAGCCAUGGGCAGGUUGAAGGUUGGGUAACACUAACUGGAGGACCGAACCGACUAAUGUUGAAAAAUUAGCGGAUGACUUGUGGCUGGGGGUGAAAGGCCAAUCAAACCGGGAGAUAGCUGGUUCUCCCCGAAAGCUAUUUAGGUAGCGCCUCGUGAAUUCAUCUCCGGGGGUAGAGCACUGUUUCGGCAAGGGGGUCAUCCCGACUUACCAACCCGAUGCAAACUGCGAAUACCGGAGAAUGUUAUCACGGGAGACACACGGCGGGUGCUAACGUCCGUCGUGAAGAGGGAAACAACCCAGACCGCCAGCUAAGGUCCCAAAGUCAUGGUUAAGUGGGAAACGAUGUGGGAAGGCCCAGACAGCCAGGAUGUUGGCUUAGAAGCAGCCAUCAUUUAAAGAAAGCGUAAUAGCUCACUGGUCGAGUCGGCCUGCGCGGAAGAUGUAACGGGGCUAAACCAUGCACCGAAGCUGCGGCAGCGACGCUGAUGCGUUGUUGGGUAGGGGAGCGUUCUGUAAGCCUGCGAAGGUGUGCUGUGAGGCAUGCUGGAGGUAUCAGAAGUGCGAAUGCUGACAUAAGUAACGAUAAAGCGGGUGAAAAGCCCGCUCGCCGGAAGACCAAGGGUUCCUGUCCAACGUUAAUCGGGGCAGGGUGAGUCGACCCCUAAGGCGAGGCCGAAAGGCGUAGUCGAUGGGAAACAGGUUAAUAUUCCUGUACUUGGUGUUACUGCGAAGGGGGGACGGAGAAGGCUAUGUUGGCCGGGCGACGGUUGUCCCGGUUUAAGCGUGUAGGCUGGUUUUCCAGGCAAAUCCGGAAAAUCAAGGCUGAGGCGUGAUGACGAGGCACUACGGUGCUGAAGCAACAAAUGCCCUGCUUCCAGGAAAAGCCUCUAAGCAUCAGGUAACAUCAAAUCGUACCCCAAACCGACACAGGUGGUCAGGUAGAGAAUACCAAGGCGCUUGAGAGAACUCGGGUGAAGGAACUAGGCAAAAUGGUGCCGUAACUUCGGGAGAAGGCACGCUGAUAUGUAGGUGAAGUCCCUCGCGGAUGGAGCUGAAAUCAGUCGAAGAUACCAGCUGGCUGCAACUGUUUAUUAAAAACACAGCACUGUGCAAACACGAAAGUGGACGUAUACGGUGUGACGCCUGCCCGGUGC